rnacentral:lncRNA from 1 species
UACAACCGUUUCCACUUUAAGGAAGGAGGAAGCCACUGUUAUUCCUCCCCUCUCUCAUUCUCCCUUCUUAAGUAUCUUCUCCUAUUCCACACCCCCCCUCCCCCAAUUUUCAAAGACAUAAGGUUUCCCUUAUUUGUCUUUAUUUUGUAAUGAUAUUCCUCCACUCAUCAAAGGCAGAUACAUCUCGAAGCUAGAUCUCCACAUGCAUUUCGGUAUCGGAUCUCUAUCACAGUCAUUUUUGCAGUUUCUUUU